UUUAAAUGAAGGGUUACAUAGUCACA
rnacentral:piRNA from 1 species